ensembl:lncRNA
GUUUGAACAAGCAGCAGCUUUAGGAACUUUGAAGAAAGCCUGCCAGAGUUACAGGAUUUUAGCAGAAGUAGCCAGACCUAAGUGUCAGCACAUGCCCUGGGGUACUUACAACUGCCAGGAUCAACUCAAGUUAACCAUAUUUCUACGGACACAGGGACUUGGACACCUGCUGAAUGCUCCAUCUGGCGCCAACGUUUCAGCUGAGUUAGCUUCCCAGCUUUGCUCUCUCGUUCCCUAUUCCUUUCCCAUGCCCCUGAUCUGCUAUGAAGACCCUGGUGUGCUUUUCAUCCUGGGGUCCAUAUGCUAUGGCAUGCUGACUGAUAUAAAUCAAAAGAAAAAGAAGAGGUAUAAGGCUGAGAACUACAUCUACUCAUGUCAACUGUACGUUCACACUGUUUUCUCUACCUCCAUAUUCAGUGAGAUCCAAGGAGACGUGUGUACUGCUGAAAAAUUUCAACAUGAAACAAGUUUAUAAAUUAAAAAGUGAAAAUCUCCAUCUGCUCCCUAAAAUAUUUUGGUGGGGUGGGGGAAUACUACUACAGUGAGAGACUGGCAUUGGAAGAAAGAGAGACUCAUGGUGACGGCAGAUACAGGUCUCACUCUACAAACUCCGUGAUCUGAAAAUGGUGAUGUUCUUUUUCUACACCCACUUAGAGUAGGAGCUUCUGUACUACUGAAUAAUUUCUUCCCCUCAGUCACACCUCACCUCUUUCCUCAGAGUUGGGCCCACAGUUGUGGGCUUACAAAAUGCCAAGGCUUUGAGAAGAGCACUGGUGGCAUCUAGUUCUUAGCCUUUUUUUCCAGUGUGGCUUCUACUGAGAUGCUGCUGCUGCUGCUAAGUCGCUUCAGUUGUGUCUGACUCUGUGUGACCCCAUAAUCGGAAGCCCACCAGUAUCCCCCGUUUCUGGGUUUCUUUAGGCAAGAGCACUGGAGUGGGUUGCCAUUUCCUUCUCCAAUGCAUGAAGGUGAAAAGCGAAAAUGAAGUCGCUCAGUCGUGUCCGACUCCCAGCACUGCAGCUUACCAGGCUCCUCCGUCCAUGGGAUUUUCCCGGCAAGAGUACCGGAGUGGGGCGCCAUUGCCUUCUCCACUAUUGAGAUGAUUCUUGUUUAAUAUGGUUGUGGGUGGUGGAUUCAUAUAGGUCCCUCCCUGCAGAGCCUCUGAAAGUCAGGUGGAUCCUAGUUUUAAGUUCCUGUUCUCCUUGGACUGCUGCUGCUACUGCUGCUGCUAAGUCGCUUCAGUCGUGUCCAACUCUGUGCGACCCCAUAGACGGCAGCCCACCAGGCUCCCUGAUGCCUGAGAUUCUCCAGGCAAGAACA